rnacentral:tRNA from 1 species
CAAGGAAUAGUUUACACAAGAAUCCUAGCUUUGGGAGUUAGGGGUGGGAGUUAAAGUCUCUCUUCUUUGA